GUGAGAUUGUCCAUGUUCUUGCUACUGGUUCCUCUGAAACAUCUUUCAUCACAAUGGUGUAAAGAGCAACAGCUGGAUAUAACAACAUACACUGAUGAUGACGAAGAAGAAAAUGAAGAUGAAGAUGGUGUGAUGGAGUUCCCUCCUGAGAAGGGAUGAACUGUUAGACAAGAGAGAAGUUGGAGUUACUGAAACUAAUAAUCAGAUGAGUGCUGGAACUGUGGUGACAUCAGGAGGAUUUUUAGCUGCUGUGAUUCUGCUGUGUAUCAUCACUGUGCUGUGUUACUGCAGACUGCAGCGUUAUUGUUGUGAGUGUGAUGUCUCAGAGUCGGUCGGUGUGCCGGUGUUGGACGCUCGUCCUCGUAUCCGCAGUGACGUGUGCAGUGUGGAAGAAGUCACCAGGACCCUGCUGCCAUUGACCUCUGACCCCAGUGCCACCCACAGCUACUGUCCCACCUGCUCGCCGUACUAUCGCCAUGACGACGUGUGUAAUCAAUGCAUGUGGCUCGCUGUUGCUCACCGAGAGCCGAGAGGCGUUACUGCACUCGGCACGGCAGCCAUGAUGAACUUCUACACCAACACACACGCCAUCAGCACGGAUGUCUGACCUCUGACCUCUGAAGUUCACAGAUAACAACAUUUCUGUUUCCUUCUCGAAUCUCUGUUUGUACAUAAAGUUAUCCGUUUUAUUUUGCCAAACCUUCACUUGAAAGAUUUCAAUUUUACUCAAGAGGAGGCUCCCUAAGUAGGGAGUGUUUUAGGAUUUUAGUGUUUAUAUCAGUUUACAACAAGGGG
ensembl:lncRNA